rnacentral:rRNA from 1 species
UACGUAGGGGGCAAGCGUUAUCCGGAUUUACUGGGUGUAAAGGGAGCGCAGACGGUUUUGCAAGUCUGAUGUGAAAGGCUGGGGCUCAACCCCGGGACUGCAUUGGAAACUGCAUGACUUGAGUGCCGGAGGGGUAAGCGGAAUUCCUAGUGUAGCGGUGAAAUGCGUAGAUAUUAGGAGGAACACCAGUGGCGAAGGCGGCUUACUGGACGGCAACUGACGUUCAUGCUCGAAAGCGUGGGGAG